AACAGAUGCUUCGCUAUUAAAAUAUUUCCCCCCAAUACUGAAGAAUCUUAAACCAGCAACCCUAACAGAGAUUGCGAAGAUUUUCAAAGUGGGGCACCUCGAUUUCUCGAAUCUGUGGUGUGGCGAAUAUCCGUGUUCCUCCUGCUUAACUAGCCUGUUUGCAUCUUUUGACACAUUUUACUUCCGUAAUUUCGGACUGCCAGAAGGCACAGUUCAUUCUCGAGCAAUUCGUCACCUCCUGGGGGUCUUCUCUUCCCGUCUACAGGAGAGUGUGACUUCAGAAAGAACUUCGGAUUGGCCAAGGCCAUUAAAGCUGGUGAGCGACUUGGAAGUCAUUUAGAAAGGAACAGACCUUCAACCUCAAGCCUUUGCGGGCACUGGGAAAGUGUCUUCCCAAUCAAUCUGGCUUGCAGGCGGCAGGACCAACUCUGACCUGGCUUAUCUUGUACCCAUCCUAAAUACACCAAACUCAAGAGGUAGCCAGGGCCGCCUCAACACCGAGGCAGGUCUGAUUCUAUUUAUUCUAAAGACAGAGUUGGAGAUGGGCUACCAUUGGUGUUGAUUGAGAUGACAAGCAGUCACCUGAGCCCAUACAGCUGGGUUCACAGAUGUGGCUAGUCUUGCUAGCCAGCUCGCACUGUGGACAUUCUAGGGAACUGACUGCAGUCCUCAUGCUUGGAGUCAAACACUUUAACCACUGCACACGUUUAUGUAAUAGGAUUGACAUAUGAGAAUCAGAGAAAUGAAUGAAAGAUUAGAGUGGGAGAAAGUGCUUGCUGCCAAGCUUGAUGACCUAAAUUGAAUACCUGGAACCUACACGACAGAAAGAGAGAGCUGACUGCUGAAAGAUGUCCUCAGAUCUUCACAUGUGCACAGUGGCACCUAUCCAACCAUGCACAUAGUAUAUUAAAAAUUAUUUUUUAAAAAA
rnacentral:lncRNA from 7 species